ensembl:miRNA
GCUGCACUUGUAGGGGAGUGCCUGGGAAGCUGUUCCUUUUGGCCGACUACUUCCUGGUGCCUCGCCCCACACCCAGC